AUUGAACGCUGGCGGCAUGCCUUACACAUGCAAGUCGAACGGCAGCAUGAUCUAGCUUGCUAGAUUGAUGGCGAGUGGCGAACAGGUGAGUAAUACAUCGGAACGUGCCCUGUAGUGGGGGAUAACUAGUCGAAAGAUUAGCUAAUACCGCAUACGACCUGAGGGUGAAAGUGGGGGACCGCAAGGCCUCAUGCUAUAGGAGCGGCCGAUGUCUGAUUAGCUAGUUGGUGAGGUAAAGGCUCACCAAGGCGACGAUCAGUAGCUGGUCUGAGAGGACGAUCAGCCACACUGGGACUGAGACACGGCCCAGACUCCUACGGGAGGCAGCAGUGGGGAAUUUUGGACAAUGGGCGAAAGCCUGAUCCAGCAAUGCCGCGUGUGUGAAGAAGGCCUUCGGGUUGUAAAGCACUUUUGUCCGGAAAGAAAUGGCUCUGGUUAAUACCUGGGGUCGAUGACGGUACCGGAAGAAUAAGGACCGGCUAACUACGUG
rnacentral:rRNA from 1 species